GCUUGAGAAUUCCAGCUGCUUGCGUUCCAGUUAACCGAGAUACUAUAUGAGCCUGGCAACAAGUGUGCAACCUAAUUAAGCUUACUACAAGAGACAGUUUCCAAUCCAUCCAUCCUCCCCUGUAUAAUGAUGCGGAGGAAGCAUAGAGUUUCCAUCCCUCUUUAUCAGCUCCUUUGUGUGCGCCAGGCAUUUUAAACACAGCGUGGGACAAGCGUAUGUUGAAUGAUUGAUCUGUUUGUUGUACCUACAUCUGGCUCUUUCCAUUGUAUGGCUGCCUAUUUUGGAACGUCUGCUCUCGCCCACUCCUGAGCUUCCAGCAAGAAGCUCUCAGCCAGCAAAACACAGGGAUCCAUUUCAUUCAAUUGCAAGGUUCAACUGGCUGAAAGCAAUGGAGAGGAGCAGGAGGUUUAUAUUACGGGAUUCUCCUCCAUUGUCUCGUCUUCCUCUGCCGUCUCCCUCUUAAUCGUCAACCCUUAAUUAGUACAAGUGAUUAUUGUGUGUUGGGAUGUUUACUCAAUAUGUCUAGUAGGGCACAGGGAAUGAUUCAUUCUCUAUAAAACCUGAAGAUCCCCUUUGCAAAAGAACAGUGUAAUUUUGCACGUUGGGUACAUCCUUAUAUCCCACUGCAUAAUGGGUUUACAGUGGUAAUACAUCAUUUUAAAUUAGUACAUCAUGCAACUAUUAUACAAACCUUGGAAGACAGUCACACUUGGCCACAAAUGAUCGCCUAUAGCAGUGGUUCUCAACCUUCCUAAUGCCACAACCCCUUAAUACAGUUCCUCAUGUUGUGGUGACCCCCAACCAUAAAAUAUUUUUGUUGCUACUUCAUAACACUCCUCUUGCUACUAUUAUGAAUCGUAAUGUAAAUAUCUGAUAUGCAGGAUGUAUUUGUAUUUACUGGAACAGAUUUGGCACAAAUACCUGAUAUGUCCAAAUUUGAAUAGUGGUGGGGUUGAGAAGGGGAAUGAUUUUGUCAUUUGGAAGUUAUAGUUGCCUUCAGUCUUCAAUCACCUUCAAUCAACAAGCAUCAAUCACCUUCAAUCACCUUCAAUCAACAAGCAUCCAGAACUCCAACAACGAUGGAAUUGAACCAAACUUGGCAUACAGAACUCCCAUGACCAACAGAAAAUACUGCGCAGGUUUGGUGGGCAUUGACCUUGAGUUUUGGAGUUGUAGUACACCUACAUCCAGAGAUCACUGUGGAAGCAAACAAUGAUGAAUCUGGAUCAAACUUGGCACAAAUACUCAAUAUGCCCAAAUUUGAAAAAUGGUGGAGUUUGUGGAAAACAGACCUUGACAUUUGUAAUUUCUGGGACCCCCUUGAACCACACCAAUGAUAAAAUUGGGCCAAACUUCCCACACAGAACCCCCAUGAUCAACAGAAAAUACUAGUAUUUGACGAUCCCUCUGACACCCUCCUUGUGACCCGCCAAGAUCCCGAACCCCAGGUUGAGAAAUGCUGGUCUAAAGUAAUAAACCUUUAUUGUGUAGGCUAGAUUCUGUUUUUAAAGGGGUCAAUUCCAGGACAUUUUUGUUGCCCUCAUGAAAGAAAAAAAUGGAGAACAGUUCUCCCCAGUAUACUGCUGCUAUUACAACAACAACUACUACUACUACUACUACUACGACUACUAAUACUACUACUAAUAAUAAUAAUAAUCUCCCACAGUUGUCCACUCUAUUCUAGGCCUAGCAUCAUGCUGAGUUUCUUUUCUUUGCCAUUUAUUCUAACCAUAAUUUCUGACCUUCUAGACUACAAGGGAGGGAACGAACCGAUUCCCCGUCUAUGUCAAUUUCACAUUUGUUCAUAACAACAUCUGUGUCUACACAGCCAAAAUAAUCUGGACUCGGUUGCUACAGACAGCCUGCAUGAUACAUAGCUGGAUUUGCAGCACAAUCGCUCCAUCCAGACUUUACUCCACGUCAAGGGAGCACGGGAUUUACUCUGCAGAUUCUUAGAAAACGCUUUCAGGGUAAAUAUCCCCAGUUCCAGAAGAUAUCAGGUCUGAGGCACAAAUGGAUGUUGGAAGUCAGAUCGAAAUGGAGCCAUUGUCCACUGCAAGGAAAUGCUGCCAACUACUGGAUGCAUAGCUCCACGCCAACGUCUCAGCUUCUCCUUGAUUAAUGAGCAUUUCUCAGAAAGCCAGCAAAAUCUCCCUUUGGCGAUACCUCUACAAUACUGUAGGGAUGUCUACACCUCCUGGAAUUUGCUGCGAAGUGCUUGCUUCAGGUUCAAUCACUGGAACUUGCAAAGGCUACUGAGAGUUGCUUGCUUCAGCUGCUGGUACUUUCAUCUGCUCGUUUUCUGCACUUUCCAAGCAGGGCACGGCAGGUUGCUGGGAGUUGCUCACUUUCAUCUCAGUCACUGGUACUCCCAUCUGCUCUUUCUCCUUGCUGUCCAAACAGGGCAUGACGCUUCUCCCCUGAAGAUCCAGAGAAGGACAAAGAGAAGUGAUGGCCUGCCCAUGCAGUGGUUUGGUUCCAGAAGUGGUUGGCAGGAGAGAGAAAGCACUGUUGCUGCAUAUCCCCUGAAGACUCAGGGAUCAAAGAGCAGCAAUGGUCCACCAACUGUUUUCUAAAGCCAUGCAUUGGCUAGCUUGCAGAGGUGGUUAGCAAGGGAAAGCAAUGGUCCACUAAUUAUCUCCUGAAGCCCAUGUAGUCUCUGGCUUCCACAGGUGGUGGGUGAAGGAGAGUCCUUUUGCUCCACACAGCACACAUUCAAACAGCAGUUUGGGCCUCAUGUUUGGUUGACAACAACCAUUGAGAUCUAUGGUGUUCCCUGUUCCUGAAGCUCAAGGCAUGAACAUGCGCAUGGUAGCCUUAGUCUUCAUGGGGAAAGAAUGGCAAGCCUGCAAAUAAUGAAAUCCGCAAAUGCCAAACCUGUGAAUGUGGAGGGCCAGCUGUACAUAUAGCAUUUCUAUAGAUCUACCAUGAGAUUGGACACUUUUGCUGAAUGGCAGGUUUAAAAAAGCCCGAAAGGAAUGCACAUGCCAUGUAUAUGAAAGAAACAAAGAGAUAUGCAUGCACCUUAUGUAACCUAAUUAUGAUAACAAUUAAAAUUGCUUUUAAUUGAA